rnacentral:rRNA from 1 species
UACAGAGGUGGCGAGCGUUGUUCGGAUUUACUGGGCGUAAAGGGCGCGUAGGUGGUCUCGUAUGUCGGGUGUGAAAUCCCACGGCUUAACUGUGGAACUGCAUCCGAAACUGCGAGGCUAGAGUGCAGGAGGGGAGAGCGGAAUUCUUGGUGUAGCGGUGAAAUGCGUUGAUAUCAAGAAGAACACCGGUGGCGAAGGCGGCUCUCUGGAAUGCAACUGACACUGAGGCGCGAAAGCUGGGGGAG